GCGUUUCUAUAACUAACCCUCGUUGUUCUGGCGUCAAGUGACGAAGCUGCAAAAUCAAAACACUUCUCUCUAUUCAUCUGAAAACAAUGUAACUAGCUCCUGAAUCCAUUUACUAAGUUCAUUUCAGGUGACGUAAGUUAAAUAAUCAAUAGGUCCAUCUCUCUUCCAAUAACAUAUGACGAGAGAAGAACUACACGAACAAGUGAGCUAGCUCGCUAGCUAAUUCAUUGACAUGUUCUGAUAAUGCCAGUAACCAACAAAAGAAAAGCAAAGUCAGGGGAGAGACGCUGCGGUGCAGGGGACCAAUGACAGCAGUGUGCUCAGUAAGGUGUCUGCUGUAGCUCAGGGUUACUUCCUGGAUGACUACCUGAAGCAGUUUGUGUUUAACGAGUUUAGGUGUUGUCUCUGGGAGCGGGGUUUGACUCCCUGUAUUUCUGUCAGCGUGCAGAGGGGACUCAGUCAGGGGGGGUGUUUGAGCUGGACUUCCCAGAUGUUGCAAGGCUUCCGUUAUCAAUAACAACACUCAACUGAAUGAGGGCCUGGAUACCCUUUCAUCCUCACCCACAGGUCGGAUGAUGUGAUUGGCUGGACUGCCAGGCUCCUCCCCCCCAGUCUCUGUUUGUGAUGUACGAACAGAUCCGUCCCCACGAUCCCUUUGGUCGAGUCAUGCAGGACCACUUCCUGAAGCUCAACUCCACCUUGCAUGUGCUCAGAGACUACCCAGAAACAACUGCACAGACACACAGCCUUGUCCAGGAACCUGUGUGUCUGUGCAGUUGACUGGUUCUCUCUUUCUGAAAGUUACUGUUUCAAGUGUUAUUAAGUGUUUGCUCUAUCUUCAGGGCUGGGAGCGGUGUGUGUGUGCUCUAUCUUCAGGGCUGGGAGUGGUGUGUGUGUGCUCUAUCUUCAGGGCUGGGAGCGUGUGUGUGUGUGCUCUAUCUUCAGGGCUGGGAGCGGUGUGUGUGUGCUCUAUCUUCAGGGCUGGGAGCAGUGUGUGUGUGCUCUAUCUUCAGGGCUGGGAGCGGUGUGUGUGUGUGCUCUAUCUUCAGGGCUGGGAGCGGUGUGUGUGCGCUCUAUCUUCAGGGCUGGGAGCAGUGUGUGUGUGCUCUAUCUUCAGGGCUGGGAGCGGUGUGUGUGUGUGCUCUAUCUUCAGGGCUGGGAGCAGUGUGUGUGUGCUCUAUCUUCAGGGCUGGGAGCGGUGUGUGUGUGUGC